AGAGUUUGAUCAUGGCUCAGGACGAACGCUGGCGGCGUGCCUAAUACAUGCAAGUCGAGCGGACCCCCGUGUUUACUUCGGUAAAUACUCGGGUUAGCGGCGGACGGGUGAGUAACACGUGGGCAAUCUGCCCAUCAGACCGGAAUAACGCCUGGAAACGGGUGCUAAUGCCGGAUAGGGCAAUGGGAAGGCAUCUUCCUGUUGGGAAAGUGGCUUGGGCCACACUGAUGGAGGAGCCCGCGGCGCAUUAGCUAGUUGGUGAGGUAGAGGCUCACCAAGGCGACGAUGCGUAGCCGACCUGAGAGGGUGACCGGCCACACUGGGACUGAGACACGGCCCAGACUCCUACGGGAGGCAGCAGUAGGGAAUCUUCGGCAAUGGGCGAAAGCCUGACCGAGCAACGCCGCGUGAGCGAAGAAGGCCUUCGGGUUGUAAAGCUCAGUCACUCGGGAAGAGCGGUUAGCACAGGGAAUGGUGUUAACGAGACGGUACCGAGAGAGGAAGCCCCGGCUAACUACGUGCCAGCAGCCGCGGUAAUACGUAGGGGGCAAGCGUUGUCCGGAAUCACUGGGCGUAAAGCGUGCGUAGGCGGUUGUGUAAGUCUGGAGUGAAAGUCCAUGGCUCAACCAUGGGAAUGCUUUGGAAACUGCAUGACUUGAGUGCUGGAGAGGCAAGGGGAAUUCCACGUGUAGCGGUGAAAUGCGUAGAUAUGUGGAGGAAUACCAGUGGCGAAGGCGCCUUGCUGGACAGAGACUGACGCUGAGGCACGAAAGCGUGGGGAGCAAACAGGAUUAGAUACCCUAGUAGUCC
rnacentral:rRNA from 1 species